rnacentral:rRNA from 1 species
GAUGAACGCUAGCGGGAGGCCUAACGCAUGCAAGCCGAGCGGUAUUGUUUCUUCGGAAAUGAGAGAGCGGCGUACGGGUGCGUAACACGUGUGCAACCUGCCUUUAUCUGGGGGAUAGCCUUUCGAAAGGAAGAUUAAUACUCCAUAAUAUAUUGAACGGCAUCGUUUAAUAUUGAAAGCUCCGGCGGAUAGAGAUGGGCACGCGCAAGAUUAGCUAGUUGGUGAGGUAACGGCUCACCAAGGCGAUGAUCUUUAGGGGGCCUGAGAGGGUGAUCCCCCACACUGGUACUGAGACACGGACCAGACUCCUACGGGAGGCAGCAGUGAGGAAUAUUGGUCAAUGGGUGCAAGCCUGAACCAGCCAUCCCGCGUGAAGGACGACUGCCCUAUGGGUUGUAAACUUCUUUUGUAUAGGGAUAAACCUACCCUCGAGAGGGUAGCUGAAGGUACUAUACGAAUAAGCACCGGCUAACUCCGU